rnacentral:rRNA from 1 species
GAUGAACGCUGGCGGCGUGCCUAAUACAUGCAAGUCGAGCGAACAGACGAGGAGCUUGCUCCUCUGACGUUAGCGGCGGACGGGUGAGUAACACGUGGAUAACCUACCUAUAAGACUGGGAUAACUUCGGGAAACCGGAGCUAAUACCGGAUAAUAUAUUGAACCGCAUGGUUCAAUAGUGAAAGACGGUUUUGCUGUCACUUAUAGAUGGAUCCGCGCCGCAUUAGCUAGUUGGUAAGGUAACGGCUUACCAAGGCAACGAUGCGUAGCCGACCUGAGAGGGUGAUAGGCCACACUGGAAAUGAGACACGGUCCAGACUCCUACGGGAGGCAGCAGUAGGGAAUCUUCCGCAAUGGGCGAAAGCCUGACGGAGCAACGCCGCGUGAGUGAUGAAGGUCUUCGGAUCGUAAAACUCUGUUAUUAGGGAAGAACAAAUGUGUAAGUAACUAUGCACGUCUUGACGGUACCUAAUCAGAAAGCCACGGCUAACUACGUG